UGUGUGUGUGUGUGUGUGUGUAUGCACAUGUAUAAUAUAAUAUGCAUGUACAUACACAUUAUAUUAUACAUGUGCAUACACACACACACACACACACACG
rnacentral:miRNA from 1 species